UGCUGGUGGUGACAGAUUUGGUACAUGAAAACAGAGAAAAAUUUGUUGUGGAAAAUUAUAUAUAAGGAGCAUAAGCAGUAUGUUCAAAAACACUUUUCAUACCCUUUUUAUUCUUAGGAUAAACUAUUCAAUCAAUGAAAUACUACAGAAGACUGAGAAAUUGA